rnacentral:tRNA from 1 species
GAGGGUGUGGCUCAGUGGUAGAGUGCAUGCUUAGCAUGCACAAGGUCCUGGGUUCAAUCUCCACUACCUCCA